UGGGGAAUCUUGGACAAUGGGCGCAAGCCUGAUCCAGCCAUGCCGCGUGGAUGAUGAAGGCCUUAGGGUUGUAAAAUCCUUUCGUUGGGGACGAUAAUGACGGUACCCAAAGAAGAAGCUCCGGCUAACUUCGUGCCAGCAGCCGCGGUAAUACGAAGGGGGCUAGCGUUGUUCGGAUUUACUGGGCGUAAAGCGCGUGUAGGCGGAUUUGUAAGUUGGGGGUGAAAUCCCGAGGCUCAACCUCGGAACUGCCUCCAAAACUACAAGUCUGGACCUAAGUAGAGGCAAGUGGAAUUGCGAGUGUAGAGGUGAAAUUCGUAGAUAUUCGCAGGAACACCAGUGGCGAAGGCGACUUGCUGGACUUAUGGUGACGCUGAGACGCGAAAGCGUGGGGAGCAAACAGGAUUAGAUACCCAUGUAGUCCCUGAGCGGGCUGGCAAGGCGCAU
rnacentral:rRNA from 1 species